rnacentral:rRNA from 1 species
GCUUUGCUGACGAGUGGCGGACGGGUGAGUAAUGUCUGGGAAACUGCCUGAUGGAGGGGGAUAACUACUGGAAACGGUGGCUAAUACCGCAUAACGUCGCAAGACCAAAGAGGGGGACCUUCGGGCCUCUUGCCAUCAGAUGUGCCCAGAUGGGAUUAGCUUGUUGGUGAGGUAACGGCUCACCAAGGCGACGAUCCCUAGCUGGUCUGAGAGGAUGACCAGCCACACUGGAACUGAGACACGGUCCAGACUCCUACGGGAGGCAGCAGUGGGGAAUAUUGCACAAUGGGCGCAAGCCUGAUGCAGCCAUGCCGCGUGUAUGAAGAAGGCCUUCGGGUUGUAAAGUACUUUCAGCGGGGAGGAAGGUGUUGUGGUUAAUAACCGCAGCAAUUGACGUUACCCGCAGAAGAAGCACCGGCUAACUCCGUGCCAGCAGCCGCGGUAAUACGGAGGGUGCAAGCGUUAAUCGGAAUUACUGGGCGUAAAGCGCACGCAGGCGGUCUGUCAAGUCGGAUGUGAAAUCCCCGGGCUCAACCUGGGAACUGCAUUCGAAACUGGCAGGCUUGAGUCUUGUAGAGGGGGGUAGAAUUCCAGGUGUAGCGGUGAAAUGCGUAGAGAUCUGGAGGAAUACCGGUGGCGAAGGCGGCCCCCUGGACAAAGACUGACGCUCAGGUGCGAAAGCGUGGGGAGCAAACAGGAUUAGAUACCCUGGUAGUCCACGCCGUAAACGAUGUCUACUUGGAGGUUGUGCCCUUGAGGCGUGGCUUCCGGAGCUAACGCGUUAAGUAGACCGCCUGGGGAGUACGGCCGCAAGGUUAAAACUCAAAUGAAUUGACGGGGGCCCGCACAAGCGGUGGAGCAUGUGGUUUAAUUCGAUGCAACGCGAAGAACCUUACCUGGUCUUGACAUCCACAGAAGAAUCCAGAGAUGGAUUUGUGCCUUCGGGAACUGUGAGACAGGUGCUGCAUGGCUGUCGUCAGCUCGUGUUGUGAAAUGUUGGGUUAAGUCCCGCAACGAGCGCAACCCUUAUCCUUUGUUGCCAGCGGUUAGGCCGGGAACUCAAAGGAGACUGCCAGUGAUAAACUGGAGGAAGGUGGGGAUGACGUCAAGUCAUCAUGGCCCUUACGACCAGGGCUACACACGUGCUACAAUGGCGCAUACAAAGAGAAGCGACCUCGCGAGAGCAAGCGGACCUCAUAAAGUGCGUCGUAGUCCGGAUUGGAGUCUGCAACUCGACUCCAUGAAGUCGGAAUCGCUAGUAAUCGUGGAUCAGAAUGCCACGGUGAAUACGUUCCCGGGCCUUGUACACACCGCCCGUCACACCAUGGGAGUGGGUUGCAAAAGAAGUAGGUAGCUUAACCUUCGGGAGGGCGCUUACCACUUUGUGAUUCAUGACUGGGGUGAAGUCGUAACAAGGUAACCGUAGGGGAACCUGCGGUUGGAUCACCUCCUUACCUUAAAGAAGC